UGAGCUGUGGUGUAGGUGGCAGAUGCAGCUCGGAUCUGACAUUGCUGUGGCUGUGGCAUAGCCCGGCAGCUGUAGCUCUGAUUCGACUCCUAGGUUGGGACUCUCCAUGUGCUGCAGGUGCGGCCCUAAAAAGGAAAAGGAAAAAAAAAACUGAAACGCUAUGGCAGGGGGGUUUCCUGGUGGCCUAGCGGUUAAGGAUCUGGUGUUGUCAAUGCUAUGGCCGGGGUUCGCUCCCUGGCCCAGGAACUUCUAUAAGCCUCAGUGUGGCCUGGAAAAACCAAACCAAAAAAAAAAAAAAAAAACCUAUGGCAGGAAUAGGGUCAGCUCUGUGUGGCUAUGAGAGCGACUCCAAAAUGGUUGAGUUAUAAUAUUGAAAGUGAAUGCUGAGUAGGGAGCUUUACAAGCUACUUCCCUCAGUUUCUCUUCAGCAACCUGUCUGAGAUCCACACUCAUGCAGCAUUCAGGGCAGAUGGUCCGGCUCAGACCCUAAAAUGUGGACAGUGAGUUUGAAAGCGUUAAGAAGGAUGAGUGAUCUUGAGGCAUCUCAGAAGAGGUGACGUCGAAGGCUCUGCGGUAGCCAUCGCAAGCACUGUCACAAUCUUGGGGGAAAUGUUUUGAAAGGUGAGCCCACUCCAGUGAUUUUACAACAGAAGAAACUGUGUAAGCCUCCAGAAAGUGACACUAUGUCAAGAAAGGUUCAGCUGCAGAAAACAUCAAGCCAUUCUGAACAGACCAAAAAAAAAGUCUGGGAGGAACUUUUUGUAUAAAUAAUCAGGGGGCUGGAGGAGCCUUCCAGGAAAGACUGAGAACAAAACAGCAGGGCCGGCCCUGGGGAGGUGGGGAGGGGCUGUCUGGGUCCCAAGCCAGAAAGCAGGGAAGCGGGCUGCCCGGGCUGGCCAAGGAGCAGAAAGACAGGCCCUGCCUCACUGCCUCCAUCCAGAGCGCACGCUAGUGCAUCGCACUGACAGCACCUGGCCCACCGUCCCCACCGUGGCACCGGGUCAAAGCGAGGUAGAGACGGACCAGGCAGAGCCGCCUUGGGGAAGCAGCUGGGAGAACUGGUGGAGGAAAAGUCGAGCACAGGGGAAAGUGGAAGCACGCCUCAGAGCACAGUCCCCAGCCGGGCUGCAGGCCUGGGCUCGCUCUUUUGGGUGUGAUGGGUGUUUAUCUUGCUGGCCUCUCCGGACAGACAGUGAAGCCAGCUCCCUUUGUUCCAUGUGAACAAUGGUUACUGGAAGGAGGCCAAGGGAUCAGAACAGUUGCUUUGAUGGCUUCCAUUUGCAGGGGAAUGAAAUAUGAUCUGGAAGGCCCCUGACUGCCUGCGACAGCUUAGAGCAAGCCUGGGGCCUUCUCUGUAAACCUGUACAUCCUGUGAUUCAUGGGGGUCUCUCCUGCUCACGCCUCUCCUCCCCCAGCAUCUUAUGGCCUUGACAUGAUUGAGACCAAAACAAAGCCCAGGGGUGCCCCAGCCGUGCAUGAGGUGCCCAGUUAAGGGUGCAAUCCACUUUUGGUUUCACUGGGAGGCACAUGGUCUGAUUUGGGGAGUUUGUCCUUCCCCUCAGAAGCAACCUGCUGUGCCCUCUGAACCAGCUGCAGAGUAUUGGCCCUGCUCCCACCUCCAUGCUCUCCCCAUCCCACCUAGACCUGCCUUCCUUAUGUCUCAGCCAUUCCUUUCUUUAUCCUGCCUCUGCCAGCUAGUUUAAGCUGUUAACAACCCUGGCUUGCUGUGUUAUCCCAAGUUAAUUUAUAGGACAUUGUGUUUUAACAGGGACUUUUAAUCCGAGGGGAGUAUCUGGUAGUAGGAAAUGAGACUCUCUGGUUGAGACUGGAGGCAGAGGUGGAGGUGUUGGGUGGCAAAAGGAGCCUUUUGGGGGGCGUCCAGACCUCACCGGCCCACAGAGAUACCUGUUAACCCCACAAAGAUGGAGACCUCUUGGCAAGUGGGGAGCAGAGGUGGAUGCUUGCUGGCAGGUUUGGGGGCAGCAGACCAGGUUGUAGGACUAGUGACCCCAUUUGGAGCCAGGCAGUUUCCCACUGGGCAGAAGACAGUUAACCUCCCUUCCCUUAGUGAGCCCUCGAGGGCCAUCUGCCUGCCCAUGCCCUCGGGUUCCCUGGGCUCUGGACGCUGCCUGCUCUUGCUCUCGGCACCCACCUUCCCGUCCUGCCUCGCCUGGACUCGGAGGCCUCCUCGCCUCUGACCCAGGCAGCCACUUAUUUCAGGCCAGGGUCCCCAGCCUGCUCCCGGUGUGGACACCUGUCAGGAGAGGAAAGGAAGCAGCCCUGGACAGAGGUAAAGGCUGGGCUGUGGUGCAGGAACUACAAGGCCUCAGCUGACCCCACAGGGAGCUCUGUAGCUUCUAUGGCCCUGAAGAGUUGCCCCGAGUUUUCAAGAAGCAUCUGGGCUCUUGCCCUCUAGGACUGACCCGUCCCUGAGUGCCCUUGGGUGAGGCAUCUCUCUUUGGCCAAGGAUAAUUCCCAGCGAGAGAGUUGGCACUGCCAGGUCCCACGAAUGCUCAGGGAGAGUGAGGGCGAGUCCCUGAGUCCUGGUUGUCAGCUGAGGGCUGGCAGCACGCCCAGCAGCUCGGGAAGAAGUGCUGUGGUCCUGAGCAGCACAGCACCGUUCGCCUCGCACCAGUUUGUCCCAACGCUGCUGGCUCCUUGGCCCAUGUGUGGCCCCUUAAUCACUUCAGGAGCAGAGGCCAGGAGGCAAAGGAGAGCUCCCCUGGGCAGUUGCUAGCUCUGUUUUCCUCUGGAAAACGUCUCUCAGGUGCAGUGGAACCACUGAAUCAUAUGUGCAUUUAACAUGCAAAUUCAACAAUAUAGACCCUGAAAGAC
rnacentral:lncRNA from 1 species